GACGGAGGAUGCAAGUGUUAUCCGGAAUCACUGGGCGUAAAGCGUCUGUAGGUGGUUUAAUAAGUCAACUGUUAAAUCUUGAGGCUCAACCUCAAAAUCGCAGUCGAAACUAUUAGGCUAGAGUAUAGUAGGGGUAAAGGGAAUUUCCGGUGGAGCGGUGAAAUGCGUAGAGAUCGGAAAGAACACCAACGGCGAAAGCACUCUGCUGGGCCGACACUGACACUGAGGCGCGAAAGCUAGGGGAGCGAACGGG
rnacentral:rRNA from 1 species